UACGAAGGGGGCUAGCGUUGUUCGGAAUUACUGGGCGUAAAGGGCGCGUAGGCGGUGAUCUUUGUCCGAGGUGAAAGCCCGGGGCUCAACUCCGGAAUUGCCUUUGAAACGGGAUUGCUUGAGUCCGAGAGAGGAUGGCGGAACUCCUAGUGUAGAGGUGAAAUUCGUAGAUAUUAGGAAGAACACCGGUGGCGAAGGCGGCCAUCUGGCUCGGUACUGACGCUGAUGCGCGAAAGCGUGGGGAGCAAACAGG
rnacentral:rRNA from 1 species